ensembl:lncRNA
CUCAUUCUCUUGUUGUUAUCAUUUGAUAGCGUUUUCUUUGGUUCUUUGCCACGCUCUGGGCUCUGGCUGCACGCUCUGCACUGAUCAGCGAGUAGAUGUGAGGGAAGCAGCAGUGAGAGGGGCUGCCCUCAGCUGGCACCCAGCCGCUCAGCCUAGGAGGGGACCUUGCCUUUCCACCAGCUGAGGUGCAGCCCUACAAGCUUACACGUGCUGCAAGCUCAGCCAGGGGCCAUUGCUGAGGACGGCAUCGGGGCCCCCUGGACCAAAUCUGUGGCACAGAUGGUUUCACUUACAUCAGUGGAUGUGGGAUCUGUGCCUGUAACGUGUCCUUCCGAAGGAAGGAACGUGCCUUCCAAGUGCCAGCCCCACAGCCCCCAGCCCCUCCCUGUGCUGCUCCAAUUCAUCUCCUCUUCCUCCUUCUCCCUUUGCUGUUUGUGCUCGGGUAGAAAUCAUGAAGAUUUAGAAGAGAAAACAAAAUAACUGGAGUGGAAACCCAGGUGAUGCAGUUCAUUCAGCUGUCAUAGGUUUGUCGUUGCUAUAGGUCUGUAUCAGAGAUGCUAACACCACUUUGCUGUCGGUGCUUAACUCGAGUGAACUCUCCUUCACUCGCAUCAUUUGCGGGCCUUAUUUACAUCCCCAGCAUCCAUCACCCUCUGGGAAAAUGGGCACACUGGAUCUCUAAUGGAAGACUUUCCCUCUUUCAGAGCCUGUGGGAUGUGCAGUGACAAGAAACGUGGAGGGGCUGAGCAGCAGCACUGCCCCCAGGGAGCAGGAGCGGGUGCCAUCGGUGGCAGCAUCCCAAAUGAUGUCAGCGGAUGCUGAGCAGGCAGCGGACGAACGGACAGAAGCGAUGCGUACACCUUCUGUUGACAUGGCAUUUGGCAGCGAUUUAACACUCGCUUCCUAGUCCUGCUAUUCUCCACAGGCUGCAUUCAAAUGAACGAAGGGAAGGGAGGCAAAAAGAUGCAAAAUCCGAGACAAGCAGCAGAAAUAUUUCUUCGCUACGGAAGCGUGCGCAAACAACCUUCUCCAACAGCACCAGAAGAGCACAGCGUAACCUUUUUCAAGACCAGAAAAGGAAAUUCACAAAGCCUCUGUGGAUACCAGCGCGUUCAGCUCUCCUGAUAGCAGAUUUCUUGUCAGGUUGCAAAUGGGGUAUGGUGCCAGGAGGUGCAGGGACCAUAUGAUCAUAUACAGCACAGCAGUCAUUGUGCAUGUAUUAAUAUAUAUUGAGUAGCAGUGUUACUUUGCCAAAGCAAUAGUUCAGAGAUGAGUCCUGCUGCAUACCUCUAUCUUAAAACUAACUUAUAAAUAGUAAAACCUUCUCAGUUCAGCCACGUGCUCCUCUCUGUCAGCACCAAUGGUGCUUCGCCUGCACCCAGCUGCAAGGAAUCAGCCCGUGAUCUCAUUAACACUCAGCUCUGCAGGAUAAAUUAGAUUGUUCCACUCU